UACGAAGGGUGCAAGCGUUACUCGGAAUUACUGGGCGUAAAGCGUGCGUAGGUGGUCGUUUAAGUCUGUCGUGAAAGCCCUGGGCUCAACCUGUGAAUUGCGAUGGAUACUGGGCGACUAGAGUGUGGUAGAGGAUAGUGGAAUUUCCGGUGUAGCAGUGAAAUGCGUAGAGAUCGGAAGGAACAUCUGUGGCGAAGGCGACUAUCUGGGCCAACACUGACACUGAGGCACGAAAGCGUGGGGAGCAAACAGG
rnacentral:rRNA from 1 species